rnacentral:tRNA from 1 species
GGACCCGUAGCUCAGUCGGUAGAGCAGGAAUGUUUCCAAAAAUCCUCGUCGUCGCGGACGAAUGACAUGGCGAAUGCAAAGGAAACUACAUCGGCCGCGGCGGGUUCG